GUGAGUCUCAUGAGAUCUGUUGGUUUUAUAAGCAUCUGGCAUUUCCCCUGCUUGCACUCACUCUGUCGUGCCACCCUGUGAGGAAGAUGCCUGCUUCUUCUUCACCUUCUGCCAUGACUAUACAUGCUGCUCUGGGAAGGGAAUGACCUUGCGUGAAGUGGCUGAAGCUGACCCUGAAGGAGCUGACAGCUGGAGGCUCUGUGCUCACUGUAGUCCGUUCAUCUGGGUAGCAGGUCUUCCUUGAAAGGGGAUCAAGGGUUGCUGUUAUGGCAUAUUGAUGUGGAGUACAAAAAGUGUCCUUCCUCUAGGUGGGUGCAGCCCUGCAGCCCUGCACCACAGAGCCUGGCUUGAGAGGUCAAAAGUCCGUCUGACUCACCUGUGCUGAGUGACUUGAAUGCCAUCUAAUCUAACUUCAAGAUGAUACAACAGAGGCACAGACAGGCUUACUCAGAUCACAUUGCCAGUGAAUAAUGGAUCCAGGAUUCAAGUUGGCAUUUUGACCCAAAUCUGCAGCCUUAACCAUGAUGACACACUGUCCCU
rnacentral:lncRNA from 10 species